AUUGUGCUGCUGGCACCAGCCCCACUGAUGCCAUGGCCACAUCACAGUGGGGCUGGUGACAUGGUGGGCCCAGGAGAGGCCUGGUAUUACACAUGGCGGUUCUCUUGUUGCCUAGCCUCAGCGCUGGACAAGGAUGUGAGCCCAUGACACGGAAACAUUCGACGGGAGAGAUCCCUGGACUCCAUGGCCACUUGCUAAGGAAGCGUCAGCGCUGGACAUGGACAGGAGCCCAUGGCACGUCAACAUUCGGCAGGAGAGAUCCCUGGACUCCAUGGCCACUUGCUAAGGAAGCCUCAGCGUGGACACGGACACAAGCCCAUGACACGACAACAUUCGACAGGAGAGAUCCCUGGACUCCAUGGCCACAUGCUAAGGAAGCCUCAGCGCUGGACACGGACACGAGCCCAUGACACGACAACAUUCGACAGGAGAGAUCCCUGGACUCCACGGCCACUUGCUACGGAAGGUCAACACCCAGCCCCUUCCCAUAUUGUGCCGCUGGCACCAGCCCCACUGAUGUCCCGGCCACAUCACAGUGGGGCUGGUGACACGAUGGGCCCAGGAGGGGGGUGGCACAACACACAGGGGUUCGCCUGUUAGUGCUUUUGCUUCUCUGCUAGCCUCAGCGCUGGACAUGGACAUGAGCCCAUGAUACCACGCUCCUGGCCGCCUCUCCUUGACGCACCACUGGAGACGCAGCAACAUCCUACGGGACGGUCCUACAGAGGAGCAGAUGGGGCCAUCAGCUGCGGACAAGAUUCUGCAACACCCCCACACUUGUUAUAUGAACUUGUCUAUGUGUAACCUUUUCUUAAUAAAAGAACUUUUCUUAAUAAAAUGUAAUUUGGA
rnacentral:lncRNA from 1 species